rnacentral:rRNA from 1 species
CUGGUUGAUCCUGCCAGUAGUCAUACGCUCGUCUCAAAGAUUAAGCCAUGCAUGUCUAAGUAUAAAUACUUUACUUUAAAACUGCGAACGGCUCAUUAUAUCAGUUAUAAUUUAUUUGAUAAUCCCUUACUACUUGGAUACCCGUAGUAAUUCUAGAGCUAAUACAUGCAUCAUAACCCGACUAUUUUGGAAGGGUUGUAUUUAUUAGGUAAAAACCAACUCCUUUCGAGGAUGCUGUGGUGAUUCAUAAUAACUUUGCGAAUCGCAUGGAUCUAUUCCGGCGAUGGAUCAUUCAAGUUUCUGCCCUAUUAACUUCGGACGGUAUGGUAUUGGCUUACCGUGGUCAUAAUGGGUAACGAAUAGUUAGGGCUAGAUUUCGGAGAGGGAGCCUGAGAAACGGCUACCACAUCCAAGGAAGGCAGCAGGCGCGUAAAUUACCCAAUACUGACACAGUGAGGUAGUGACAAUAAAUAACAAUGGUGGGUUUUUACAAAUCUGCCAAUUGGAAUGAGAACAAUUUAAAUCCCUUAUCGAGUAUCAAUUGGAGGGCAAGUCUGGU